rnacentral:miRNA from 1 species
UUGUGUCAGUAUAUCAAACUCA